AAGCUACUGGCCGGAUCGGUGGUUCCGACGGUACUUGGCCAUUAUCUCGUCGGAAAAUCCCCAAAAUCCCCUUUGUCCUCCUCUUUCUGGAAUGGAAGAUGUUCUGGCGAGCUAUCUUUUUGGGAAGAAGAAGACAACAGAAGUUGCUCACUUAGAGGACCAUGAGGAUCUUUCAGUAAAGGUGAAGUCAAGGCUCAAGGUGUCUCUCCGAAGCCUGCUAAAACCCUGGUUGCUUGGGGAGAUAGCUAUGACAUGGGAUUUUUGUGUUAGAGCAGUUAUCUCUGAGCAUGCCCGGCAGAAUGGUGGAGGGAACUUCAGCUCGAAAUUCGGAACUUGGGAGAACUCUCUCAGUGCUGCUUGAAUCAUUUGCAUAUAAUCUAUUUGUACAAUUACUCUCGAUAGGCACUGAGGCAGGUUCAGCCAGAGUUGAUGAAAUUAAGUAUUGUCUGCUAAUUGUAUCAGUUGGGAUGCUUGUAAAGAUUUGUUUAUAUGUUGAUUUAUUAUUGUUUUUGUAAUAUAGUUAGCAUCUUGGUGUAUAUACUUGUAUAGAAUGCUUUGAUUUAAGCUUAAAAUAGAAAGCAAAGUACUUAAGGUAUGCUGACCAAAGCUGUGUAAUUCUGGAAUAUUGAUCUGAAACUUAUGAAAACCAACCUGGUCUCACUUGUAUA